AGAAUAUGCUGUUAUCAAGAAAAGCCCUUUAAACAUUCAGUUUGACCUCUGCCCUCAGAGUCAUCCAAACCUGAGUGACUGGUUGGUUUCUCCAAAAGGAAAAUUAAUGUUGAUUUACUUUGUAUCACCUUCCAUGACUAGACCUGGGAUAAUGGCAUAACUAGCAUAAAGGAAAAUUUCUAAAACAGUGUGGCCAUAUUGCCACAGAAACAGAUUCAGAAAAAUAAACCUGAGAACUCUAGAGAAAGAAAACAUAUUACAUAAGUUUUCCCUUAGAGUUUGGCAGCCUUUGUUCAUAGUUGGAUAUAAACUCAUUUAGUUCUACCAAUAAGCCCACACAACUUUACUUCCUGACAUCUGUUCUCUCCUCCCAAGAUCUGGAAGAUUUCUUUCUUCUGAUAAGUGUAAAACAUUUGUGGGGAUAAGAUGUGUUCAGAAAGGGAGAGGAAGCAAACAGCCUAAUCCAAUGGUUCCUGGGUGGGGGGAACCCAGAAAGCGAGAUUUUUUUUCUAAACCACUCUUUCAAAGUUUUUCUUACCCAGGUGGUUCUGGAAGAAAGUUUUGAGAACCUCAGGUUGGUUAUUAUUGGUGGCAGUACGCACAUGGUGGUUAGGAAAAUGGCAUCACAGUGUCCAGAAUCAAAUCCCAGCUCUUUGUGUCACCAGCUGGGUGAAAGUGGCAAGUCAAUGAACUAAGGUUGGUUUGAUAAUAACAUGGGUAAAUUAAUGAGAUAAUGCAUAGAUGCAAAGUGCUUAGCACCAUGUCCUUAUUAAGGUAAGUCAUCAAUAAAUGGAAGUAAUUAUUAUCAUUAUAUUAUAUGAAAAGUUAGAUAAUAAUAUAGUAUGCAGUGAAGUUCUCAUUUUAUUGGACGGAAAUAAACAUAAAUCCCUGUAUCUGUUGCCUGUGGGGUUAGAUGAGAGAAAUGUUUAAUGGUAAUAAACAUCAUGUGUUAUCAAACUACCUACAUUAAUAAUCCAUUUAAAUUCCAUGUUCAAAAGGAAUGAAAAAGAGAAGGGACCUCUAAAAGAGAGAGGACCUCUAAAACCUUUCUCAGCACAAAGAACAGAGCUCUCAGAACAGUAAACUGCUAACUGCCACCAAAGUGACUUGGUGAAAGUAGAUACAACUUUCAAAACUAUUCCUGAAACCACUCAUAUUCCAAAGAGAGAAUAUACUUCUAAGACAAAAACUUAGUAAUUAAGACAAACUUAGUAAUAAAGCCAAAACAGGACAUCACAAUAUGUGUCAUGACAUCCAUAAGAACACUUUUGGAGAAUUUACUAUGUCCCAUCAACUGUGCCAAAUCCUGUACUGGAAUUAGUUCAUUCUAUCCUGGCAACCACCCUAGGAUAGGUGUUGGUUUGGUCUUCACCUGCAGCUGAGGGAACUGAGGAGAAAGAGACUAAGUAAUUUAGCUAGGCGGCACACCUCUGGACAGUGGAACCAGGGUAAGCCCAGGAUAACACAUCCCGGAGCCUGUGCUCACAAUCAGAUCCCUCACACAGAACUGCCCAUGUCGUCAAGAAAAUAGCAGGGUCCCAGAAUGUGGGCGAUACCCAGAGGAGAGACCGUUUAAACUCUUAAAACUUGAGUAAGAAAACAAACAACUCUAUUUUUAAAUUGUGCAAAAGACCUGAAUAGACACCUCGCCAACGAAGAUAUACAGAUGGCAGACAGGCAUGUGGAAAGAUGCCCCACAUAUGUCAUUAAGGAACUGCAACUUAAAACAACAAUAAGAUACUGCUACAUACCUAUUACAAUGGCCAGAAUCCAGAUCACAGACAACAUCAAAUGCUAGUGAAGAUGUGGAAUAACAGGAAUUCUGAUUCAUUGCUGGUGGGAAUACAAAAUGGUACAGCCACUUUUGAUGACAGUUGCGGCAGUUUCUUACAAAACUAAACAUACUCUUACCACACAAUCCAGCAAUUGCAUGCCUCAAUAUUUACCCAAAGGAGCUGAAAAUUUAUGUCUACACAAAAACCUGCAUGUGAAUUUUUAUAACAGCUUUAUUCAUAAUUGUCAAAAUUUGAAAGCAUCCAAAAUGUCCCUCAGUAGGUGAAUGGAUAAAUAAACUAUGGCACAUCUAUACAGUGUCACAUUACUCAGUGCUAAAAAGAAGUGGGCUAUCAAGCUAUAAAAAGACAGAGGAAACUUAAAUGCAUAUUACUAAGUGAAAGAAGCCAAUCUGAAAAGGCUAUAUAGUGUAUGAAUUCAAUUAUAUGACAUCUUGGAGCAGAUAAAAGUAUUCUGUACUAAAAUUAAACUGGACAUAGUAAAAAGAUCAGUGGUUUCCAAGGGUUAGGAGAGAGGUAAGGAUGAACAGACAGAGUGCAGAGGAUUUUUAGGGCUAUUGUGUAUUCUGUAUGAUAUUACAAUGAUAGACACCUGUCAUUAUACACUUAUCAAAACCCAUAGGAGUUCCUUGGUGGUUCAGUGGGUUAAGGAUCUGGCAUUGUCACUGCUAUAGUUCUGGUUACUGCUGUGGCACAGGUUCAAUCUCUGGGCGAGGAAUUUCUGCAUGCCAUGGGCGCAGCCAAAAAGAAACGAAAAACAAAACCAAAACAAAGAAUGCACAAUAUCAACAUCAAGAGUGAACCCUAAUGUAAACUAUGGACUUUGGAUGAUGAUGCUGUGUCAGUGUAGGUUCACUGAUUGUAACAAGUGCAUCACCGGUGUGGAUACUGGGGGGCUGUGCAUGUG
rnacentral:lncRNA from 1 species